AUUGAACGCUGGCGGCAGGCCUAACACAUGCAAGUCGAACGGUAACAGGGAUCAGCUUGCUGAUUCGCUGACGAGUGGCGGACGGGUGAGUAAUGUCUGGGAAACUGCCUGAUGGAGGGGGAUAACUACUGGAAACGGUAGCUAAUACCGCAUAACGUCGCAAGCCCAAAGAGGGGGACCUUCUGGCCUCUUGCCAUCGGAUGUGCCCAGAUGGGAUUAGCUAGUAGGUGGGGUAACGGCUCACCUAGGCGACGAUCCCUAGCUGGUCUGAGAGGAUGACCGGCCACACUGGAACUGAGACACGGACCAGACUCCUACGGGAGGCAGCAGUGGGGAAUAUUGCACAAUGGGCGCAAGCCUGAUGCAGCCAUGCCGCGUGUAUGAAGAAGGCCUUCGGGUUGUAAAGUACUUUCAGCGGGGAGGAAGGGAGUAAAGUUGAUACCUUUGCUCAUUGACGUUACCCGCAGAAGAAGCACCGGCUAACUCCGUG
rnacentral:rRNA from 1 species